GAUGAACGCUGGCGGCGUGCCUAACACAUGCAAGUCGAGCGAGAUAUUCAUGAAGAAAUCUUCGGAGGCCUGAUUGAAUGGAAAGCGGCGGACGGGUGAGUAACGCGUAGGUAACCUGCCCUGUACAAAGGGAUAGCCACUGGAAACGGUGAUUAAUACCUUAUGAUACCGGACAGCCACAUGGUUGACCGGUCAAAGAUUGAUCGGUACAGGAUGGACCUGCGUCUGAUUAGUUAGUUGGUGGGGUAACGGCCCACCAAGGCGACGAUCAGUAGCCGACCUGAGAGGGUGAUCGGCCACAUUGGAACUGAGACACGGUCCAA
rnacentral:rRNA from 1 species